rnacentral:rRNA from 1 species
UACGAAGGGGGCUAGCGUUGUUCGGAAUUACUGGGCGUAAAGGGCGCGUAGGCGGCGUGUCAAGUCAGGCGUGAAAGCCCCGGGCUCAACCUGGGAACCGCGCUUGAGACUGGCAUGCUCGAGUUCGGGAGAGGAUGGUGGAAUUCCCAGUGUAGAGGUGAAAUUCGUAGAUAUUGGGGAAGAACACCGGUGGCGAAGGCGGCGACCUGGUCCGAUACUGACGCUGAGGCGACGAAAGCGUGGGGAGCAAACAGG